rnacentral:rRNA from 1 species
UACGUAGGGUGCAAGCGUUAAUCGGAAUUACUGGGCGUAAAGCGUGCGCAGGCGGACUUUUAAGUCAGAUGUGAAAUCCCCGAGCUUAACUUGGGAACUGCAUUUGAAACUGGAAGUCUAGAGUACGUCAGAGGGGGGUGGAAUUCCACGUGUAGCAGUGAAAUGCGUAGAUAUGUGGAGGAACACCGAUGGCGAAGGCAGCCCCCUGGGAUGAUACUGACGCUCAUGCACGAAAGCGUGGGGAGCAAACAGG